CUUCAUAAUCACAGGCUCGGAAUCACUGCCUUUUAUUUUUAUUUUAUUAUUUAUUUAUAAAACUUACUGUAUAUGUAAGCUCCAAAAAGGAGAGAACCCUAGUAUCCUCUCUCACCUCUGUUCCUCUCACUCUCACGCCGCCGGCGUUCUCGGCCCGAUGCUGAUCUUUCCCAGCCUCCGCCUCCGUCGAUCUCGCCCCGAUGUUGAUCUCGUCCACGGAUCUUUGGCAAUAACAACCCUUCUUAGUUAUGGCUGUUCAUCGGCGCAGUUGACGUGAAAGAUUUGUGUGGAAAAAGAAGAUUGAGAGAGUUGUUGCCCAAGCUAUGAUGCUUCACAUGUUAGUUGAAGCUGAGAUAAAAAGAGAUAUAGAAAGGCUGAAAGGUAAAGAGAAAAGUAUUUGAUAAAUUGGAAACAACACUCUUAACAACCCGUGGAGCUUGUGCUUUUCAUGGCGGGGGAUUAACAUUGGCUGAUGAUUAUGAUUCUUCAAAGUUUAUGUUGAUAGUGUUAGUGUUAGUGUUAGUGUGAUACUCAAAUCCUCAAAUUAAUGAUUUAAAUUUAAUUAUGUAUUGUUAUUUUUUUCUUGUUGAGAUGAUCAUACACAGAUGGAGAGUAGAGACUUCCAAACACGAGUUGUCUUAUAUACUCAUUUACCUAGCAAAAAAGACGCAGAAUAUUUUCUAUUUUCUA